rnacentral:lncRNA from 1 species
UCAGGUCAAAGAGAGUUUACAACUAGGUACAAAGUUUCAUGAGGACUCAUCUUCUUGGGAUGGAAGACGAUCAGUUACUGUUAAGUUGUAAAAUUUCUAUAUUUUGGUGAUGGUACCGACUGGGUGUUCUUUCAGAUUUACUUCUAUCACGCGUAGUAAAAGUUACAUUCAGCUUAUGUGGAUGAUGCAUGGGUACUGCAGUAAAUACAUUACCUAUAAACUGAACUAUUGAUUUAGUAAUUUUACUUUUGGUCCAACGAUCGAUCAAUUGGUGAGGCUAUACUAAACCACAAAUUUCUUCCUGGGGCAGUAUUAUAGAUCUACCUCUUAUUAGACAUUUAGAAAACCAUAGGUUAUUCAGAAGCUUUCUUACAAAAAGGGUGCUCUUUAGAAACUACUACAUGUAUACGCUCACAUCACAUGCAUGUUUUCUUAAUUUUCAAGUGCUUGUGAAUAUCUGUGAAAGUACAGUUUUCUGUAGCUUUGUAGGCGUUGAACUAAAUACCAAUCCAAGUAGGAGUGGAAGAAAGAUAAUAUAGGUUUUCAUCUGCCAAAAGGUCAAGCAAUUCUUAUUUAUUCUCAUUUCAAUUAAGAUUUAUCUCUAAAACAUUGCAUGAACUCCUGUGCAUAUUGGAUACUUUAUUUAUGCACCUUCUUGCAUUUUAAUCCCAUGUAUGUUGUAUACUCUAUUUAAUAAGUUAUUUGUCUUUUGCCGACAAAUGAUUUUACCAGAUACACUGCACACAUCUCUGCAGGGACAUUUGCAACUUGCAAGACAUAGGAAAAGACGCGAGUCAAUCCAAGAUGACAUGAGCAACCAAAGAUGAAUCAUUUGUAUAAACCUUUGGUGUUUCUGAUACAAGAAUAAUCAUGCGUGGUUUCUUUUGAAGGUGUGUAGUUUUCUUGUAGUGUGGAAAUUAUUAUGAUGUUCAUUCAUCAGAGAUGCAUACGUGUGUUAUUUUCUUCGUACAAAGCAAUUCAAGUUUUAAUCUCAGGUUCAA